rnacentral:lncRNA from 1 species
AUUCGCAUAAACAAAAUUUAGAAUGGACCGGUUAUAUUACUGGUAUGAUAUUCUCAAUCAAUAAGAUAAUCUCUCUUAUUCUCUUAUGCUCAUCCAUUCAAUUAUAAUUAAUAAUAAAUUAUUAUUAUUAUAUUUUUUUUAACAUUAAAAAUAUUAUUGACUUGUUAUUAAUAAUACGAUACAAAUGUGUGACACAUUAAACAUUCUCUUUUAUCAUGUAUGGAA